GCCCGUCCCCGUCAGCGUUGAGCCGGAUGACGGGCGGCGGGGGGCAGUUGGAACGUCAUAUGGCAGGUGGAGCGAGUAAUGUCCGGAAAAGGGGACGAGAACAGAAGUGCACAAAGAGGGCAAAUUUCACUCCAAAGACGAGGAGCAUCAAUUAUCACAGCCAGAGACAGAAGUGCUUGUGCCCGGCUGAAAUGUGACACCCUGCCUGCUCAAUGCCAGUUGCAAGUGCCCGUCCGGAGGUCGUGAUUUCAUGUAAGAUUUCUUUAAUGGUUUCCAUUAAUAUCACUCAUGUCCCUGUCCCUGUGGACGCGGCCCCGUCUCAUUCUCUCAGAGCAUUAUUUGUGCGCUCUGUGGCAAUGGGCUGUGACAGUCAGCUUUAGGAGAUUGCAAACCAACAUCGAAACCCGACCUUGCAGGGAUGACACUGCCGUUAAUCUAGGUGUUCUGGCUCCAUAAUCUAUUUCCCCCAGGAAAGCAUGUGGCGUAGCCUACUCGCCCAUAUUUCUUGCCUCUGAAAUAGAGACAACAGGGAGACGAGGAAGUGAGCAG
rnacentral:lncRNA from 1 species